UAUACAGCGAAACUGCGAAUGGCUCAUUAUAUAAGUUAUCGUUUAUUUGAUAGUACUUUCCUACAUGGAUAACCGUGGUAAUUCUAGAGCUAAUACAUGCUAAAAAUCCCGACUUCGGAAGGGAUGUAUUUAUUAGAUUAAAAACCAAUGCCCUUCGGGGCUCACUGGUGAUUCAUAAUAACUUCACGGAUCGCACGGCCUUGCGCCGGCGAUGGUUCAUUCAAAUUUCUUCCCUAUCAACUUUCGAUGUUUGGGUCUUGGCCAAACAUGGUUGCAACGGGUAACGGAGGGUUAGGGCUCGACCCCGGAGAAGGAGCCUGAGAAACGGCUACUACAUCCAAGGAAGGCAGCAGGCGCGCAAAUUACCCAAUCCCGAUACGGGGAGGUAGUGACAAUAAAUACUGAUACAGGGCUCUUUUGGGUCCUGUAAUUGGAAUGAGUACAAUUUAAAU
rnacentral:rRNA from 1 species